rnacentral:ncRNA from 1 species
UACCUGGUGGAUCCUGCCAGUAGUCAUAUGCUUGUCUCAAAGAUUAAGCCAUGCAAGUCUAAGUACGAGCUCUCGUACAGUGAAACUGCGAAUGGCUCAUUAAAUCAGUUAUGGUUCAUUUGAUCGUACAGUUUACUUGGAUAACUGUGGUAAUUCUAGAGCUAAUACAUGCGAGAAGCGCCGACCUCGCGGGAGGCGUGCAUUUAUCAGACCAAAAACCGGCCGCGUCUUCGGGCGCGUUCGCCUUGGUGACUCUGGAUAACUUUGCGGAUCGCACGGUCUAGCACCGGCGACGGAUCAUUCAAGUGUCUGCCCUAUCAACUUUCGUCGGUACGGUAUUUGCCUACCGAGGUUCUUACGGGUGACGGGGAAUCAGGGUUCGAUUCCGGAGAGGGAGCCUGAGAAACGGCUACCACAUCCAAGGAAGGCAGCAGGCGCGCAAAUUACCCAUUCCCGACGCGGGGAGGUAGUGACGAAAAAUAACAAUGCAGGACUCGUUCGAGGCCCUGUAAUUGGAAUGAGUACACUUUAAAAGCUUUAACGAGUAUCCAUUGGAGGGCAAGUCUGGUGCCAGCAGCCGCGGUAAUUCCAGCUCCAAAAGUAUAUAUUUAAGUUGUUGCGGUUAAAAAGCUCGUAGUUGGAUUUUGGGCGCAGGCGGCCGGUCCGUCGCAAGGCGUGUACUGGACGUCCUGACCUUCCCUCCGGUUCUCCGCCGGUGCUCGAAUCCAC